rnacentral:rRNA from 1 species
GAUGAACGCUAGCGGCAGGCCUAAUACAUGCAAGUCGAACGGUGUCUUCGGACAUAGUGGCGCACGGGUGCGUAACACGUAUGCAACCUACCUUACAUUGGGGGAUAGCCUUUCGAAAGGGAGAUUAAUACCGCAUAAGACAGUAGCUGGGCAUCCAGCAGCUGUUAAAGAUUUAUCGAUGUAAGCUGGGCAUGCGUCCAAUUAGCUAGUUGGUGAGGUAACGGCUCACCAAGGCAAUGAUUGGUAGGGGAACUGAGAGGUCAAUCCCCCACACGGGCACUGAGCUACGGGCCAGACUCCUACGGGAGGCAGCAGUAGGGAAUAUUGGGCAAUGGACGCAAGUCUGACCCAGCCAUGCCGCGUGCAGGAUGAAGGCGUUAUGCGUUGUAAACUGCUUUUAUACAGGAAGAAACGACUCUUGCGAGAGGCAUUGACGGUACUGUAUGAAUAAGCACCGGCUAACUCCGUGCCAGCCGCCGCCGUAAUAC